rnacentral:rRNA from 1 species
AGGUGCAUGGCCGUCGUCAGUUCGUACUGUGAAGGCAUCCUGUUAAGUCAGGCAACGAGCGAGACCCACGCCAACAGUUGCCAGCUCGGUCCUCCGGGGAUGGUGGGGACACUGUUGGGACCGCCUCUGCUAAAGAGGAGGAAGGAAUGGGCAACGGUAGGUCAGCAUGCCCGAAUUAUCUGGGCUACACGCGGGCUACAAUGGGUGGGACAAUGGGUAUCGACACCGAAAGGUGAAGGCAAUCUCCUAAACCCAUCCGUAGUUCGGAUUGUGGGCUGCAACUCGCCCACAUGAAUCUGGAAUCUGUAGUAAUCGUGUCUCAAAAUGGCACGGUGAAUAUGUCCCUGCUCCUU